UACGUAGGUGGCGAGCGUUGUCCGGAUUUACUGGGCGUAAAGAGCGCGCAGGCGGCUGGUCAAGUCCGAUGUGAAAGCUCCCGGCUUAACUGGGAAAUUGCAUCGGAAACUGAUCGGCUGGAAGGUGGGAGAGGGUAGCGGAAUUCCCGGUGUAGUGGUGAAAUGCGUAGAUAUCGGGAGGAACACCAGUGGCGAAGGCGGCUCACUGGUCCGGUACUGACGCUGAGGUGCGAAAGCGUGGGGAGCAAACAGG
rnacentral:rRNA from 1 species